rnacentral:rRNA from 1 species
AGCGAACGCUGGCGGCAGGCUUAACACAUGCAAGUCGAGGGGAGUGGCAGACGGGUGAGUAACGCGUGGUAAGGUAUCUUUUGGUUCGGAACACCCCUGGGAAACUUGUGCCAAUACCAGAUACCGAAAGAUCGGCGCGGGUCUGAUUAGUUAGUUGGUAGGGUUAUGGCCUCCCAAGGCGACGUUCUGUAGCUGGUCUGAGAGGAAGAUCGGGCACAUUGGGACUGAGACACGGCCCAAACGCCUACGGGAGGGAGCAGUGGGGAAUAUUGGACAAUGGGGGCAACCCUGAGCCGGCCAUGCCGCGUGAGUGAUGAAGGCCCUAGGGUUGUAAAGCUCUUUUGUGCGGGAAGCGGUACCGCAAGAAUAAGCCCCGGCUAACUUCGUGCCAGCAGCCGCGGUAAUUC